AGAUGUGAGGGAGAUCUAGCUGUGACAUCUGUCACCCAUUGAUUGCCAGGGCUGAUUAGAGUGAUCUGGCUUGCAAGGCAGGUGUCUCUUUCCUCCCUCUCCACUCCAUGUGCGCCCCUCCCAAAGCUGUGUGCUUGGUCGAAGAGGACCAUCCCUGAAUGAGGAGGACCAUUCUUCAGUCAAGGGUAUACAAGUAGCUGCACUCCCCUGUUAGAACUCCAAACAAACUCUCAAUAAGAGGCAGUCAGGACCAGUUAAAAGGACAUGAACAGCUGCGUGUAGCGGCACACACCUGU
rnacentral:snRNA from 1 species